AUUGAAUGCUGGCGGCAGGCUUAACACAUGCAAGUCGAACGAGUGGCGGACGGGUGAGUAAUGCUGGGGAAUCUGGCUUAUGGAGGGGGAUAACGACGGGAAAAUGUCGCUAAUACAGCGAACCAUAGGAUCAGCCUACGUGGGAUUAGGUCGUUGGGGGGGUAAUGGCCUAACAAGCCGACGAUCUCUAGCUGGUCUGAGAGGAUGACCAGCCGCUCGGGGACUGAGACACGGCCCGGACUCCUACGGGAGGCAGCAGUGGGGAAUAUUGCGCAAUGGGGGCAACCUGACGCAGCCAUGCCGCGUGAGUGAAGAAGGCCUUCGGGUUGUAAAGUUCUUUCGGUGACGAGGCGUUGAUCACAGAAGAAGCAGCGGCUAACUCCGUGCCAGCCGCGGCGGUAAUAC
rnacentral:rRNA from 1 species